GAUGAACGCUGGCGGCGUGCUUAACACAUGCAAGUCGAGCGGUAAGGCUCCUUCGGGAGUACACGAGCGGCGAACGGGUGAGUAACACGUGAGUAAUCUGCCCUUCACUUCGGGAUAACCACCGGAAACGGUGGCUAAUACCGAAUACGACCAGUCUUCGCAUGAGGUGCUGGUGGAAAGUCUUUUCGGUGAAGGAUGUGCUCGCGGCCUAUCAGCUUGUUGGUGGGGUAAUGGCCUACCAAGGCUUCGACGGGUAGCCGGCCUGAGAGGGUGACCGGCCACACUGGGACUGAGACACGGCCCAGACUCCUACGGGAGGCAGCAGUGGGGAAUAUUGGACAAUGGGCGAAAGCCUGAUCCAGCAACGCCGCGUGAGGGAUGACGGCCUUCGGGUUGUAAACCUCUUUCAGUACCGACGAAGCGCCCUGUCGGGUGGUGACGGUAGGUACAGAAGAAGGACCGGCCAACUACGUG
rnacentral:rRNA from 1 species